CAUACAUUGUAUUUCUUAUUAUUAUUUUUUUUUAACUCAUGUACUUCAGGUUGUUGAUUGCUACAAAAAAAAUUCUAUAUUUUUUCCUAUUUCUAGACAAUUUAUCAAAUAUACUUUUCUAUUUUGUAUGUAUUCAUUACCACAGUUAAGUAUUUAUUUAUUUUUCUCUACGUCACCUUAGCCAUAAGAUUCUCCUGUUGUGAAUUAACUUAUUGACAGAUGGUUCUUUAUACAUAUAUAGUAGUGAGAGCAACAUUCUGCUAACCUGGCAGCAAAGUUUUGUGUAAGAAAGAAAGAUUGUUGAUUGUGUUUUGGUAAAUAGUGUACUGGGAGUUGAAAUAUUGUUGAUUGUGCUUUAGUAAAUAAAGUGCUGGGAGUUGAAAGAUUGUUGAUUGUGCUUUAGUAAAUGGUGUGCUGGGAGUUGUCACUGUUUGUUCUCCCCUGCAAUAAAUUAUGUGCUUUGAUGAACUGAAAUAAUCCAGAUUGAAAUGUAUGUUUUUUUGUGUGUUUUUUUUACUCUCUGACCUGUG